rnacentral:misc_RNA from 1 species
GAUGAAGAACGCAGCGAAAUGCGAUAAGUAAUGUGAAUUGCAGAAUUCAGUGAAUCAUCGAAUCUUUGAACGCACAUUGCGCCCGCCAGUAUUCUGGCGGGUAUGCCUGUUCGAGCGUCAUUUCAACCAUCAAGCCCUGCUUGCGUUGGGGUCCUGCGGCUGCCCGCAGGCCCUGAAAACCAGUGGCGGGCUCGCUAGUCACACCGAGCGCAGUAAUACAUCUCGCUUUGGGCGUGCGGCGGGUUCUUGCCGUUAAACACCCCCUUUUUACCAAGGUUGACCUCGGAUCAGGUAGGAAUACCCGCUGAACUUAAGCAUAUCAAUAAGCGGAGGA